UUCUUUGGAGUGGAAGCCUUGUGCCUGUGAGGUUUUAGAGUGGCGGUCAAAGUUGAGUGUGGGGCAUUUUGUAAGACUGAGUUGAGAAUGUUAUGGAUUUUAUAGCUUUGAGGGAAAAUCAGAGUGGGGAAAUCUUGCGAGGUGUAGGUGAGGGUGUUUCGGAGGUUCUGAGAGUAUACUGAGCAUCUUUCCAUGGGGUAUGCCCCAUUUUUAUUGUAUCU
rnacentral:lncRNA from 1 species